CGUAGACAAUGAGGAAAAAAGAAACCCGUGGUCACACUCGUGUGAACCGCGGGUUUUCUUUUUGACGAAUGUCCGGAUAUGAGCAAGUAGCACGUGAGUGCGGAUUGCGAAUAUACGGAGGCUGGUGUAAGCCAGCCGUGUCUACU
rnacentral:sRNA from 1 species